AAUAAAAUGCCUGAAAAAGGGGUACUUUGAUAGAGUAAAUCAUGGAUUAUAUAUACUUUUAUUA
rnacentral:tRNA from 1 species